UACGUAGGAUGCAAGCGUUGUCCGGAUUUACUGGGCGUAAAGCGCGCGCAGGCGGCAGUACAAGUACCCUCUGAAAUCUCCCUGCUCAACGGGGAGGGUGGAGGGUAGACUGUACAGCUAGAGGAGGGUAGAGGGGGGUAGAAUUGCUGGUGUAGCGGUGAAAUGCGUAGAGAUCAGCAGGAAUACCCGUGGCGAAGGCGGCCCCCUGGGCCCUAAAGCCUUCUUUUUCCACCGCACCCGCAAGGGAGAGCGGAGAAGAAGAAACCUGACGCUGAGGCGCGAAGGCUAGGGGAGCGAACGGG
rnacentral:rRNA from 1 species